GUAAUGGGUGUAGCUGACGAGUACUAAUCGGUCGAGGGCUUAUCCU
rnacentral:rRNA from 1 species